CGCGGCCUAUCAGCUUGUUGGUGAGGUAACGGCUCACCAAGGCUACGACGGGUAGCUGGUCUGAGAGGACGACCAGCCACACUGGGACUGAGACACGGCCCAGACUCCUACGGGAGGCAGCAGCAGGGAAUAUUGCACUAUGGGCGAAAGCCUGAUGCAGCGACGCCGCGUGAGGGAUGAAGGCCUUCGAGUUGUAAACCUCUUUCAGGAGGGAAGAAGCGAAAGUGACGGUACCUCCAGAAGAAGCCCCGGCCAACUACGUGCCAGCAGCCGCGGUAAUACGUAGGGGGCAAGCGUUGUCCGGAUUCAUUGGGCGUAAAGAGCUCGUAGGCGGCUCAGCAAGUCGGUCGUGAAAGCCCGGGGCUCAACCCCGGGACGCCGAUCGAAACUGCUGUGGCUAGGGUCCGGUAGAGGAGAGUGGAAUUCCCGGUGUAGCGGUGAAAUGCGCAGAUAUCGGGAGGAACACCAGUAGCGAAGGCGGCUCUCUGGGCCAACACCGACGCUGAGGAGCGAAAGCUAGGGGAGCAAACAGGAUUGGAUACCCUGGUAGUCCUAGCCGUAAACGUUGGGCACUAGGUGUGGCGGAUUCAUUGACAUCUGCCGUGCCGUAGCUAACGCAUUAAGUGCCCCGCCUGGGGAGUACGG
rnacentral:rRNA from 1 species